rnacentral:rRNA from 1 species
AUGUUAAAUUUACACAAAAAUGAAAUUUGUAGCACAAAGAUACAAUGUUGUAUUAAGGCCUGCUUACUGCAAAAAAUUGUGGGACAUGUUAUGUUUGGCACUUGCUUGAGACUGCUCGGGUUUGGAGAAAUCGCACAGAGUCGUCAACAACUAUCCCUGCUACCGUGUAUCUGCCGCCUUCUUCUAUGGGCUUGUAUUUGCAGUCGAACUUCGACGCUAGCGUGGAGCCCGUGGAGUUGUGUCCGGAGAAACGGGGGGCACUACCAAGUACAAGGUGGUGGUGUGUGCUGUGCGGGGAGCACCACUACUCACAGUCAUGGACUGUCAGCAGGAUCAAGGCAAAAUAUCAACUCGGCAAAAAGGUAUAGUGCAAAUGUCUCCUUCCAUAGUACUCCCUCCGUCUCAUAA